rnacentral:tRNA from 1 species
CAGGCAGUAGCUUAGUGGUAGAGCUACCGCUCCGAAGACCUGGGUUCGAUUCCCUGCUGCUUAC